UGACUGGGCUGGAGGCUCUAGCAGUUGUUGCCCACCUGGCUGUCCAUGGCAAAAGUGGGUGGGGUCAUGUGCAGCCUCCUGCCACCUGAGUGUUUCCCGGGACAUCAGGAGGCUGUAUCCUGCAGCUGAAUUUACACAGAAGUGGAACAACUGGGCUGGAAGCUCUAUGGCGACAAAUUGGCUACUUCAAGUGGUGACACUACAGUUAAAUUAUGGGAUCUAUGUAAAGGCGAUUGCAUUUUGACCUUUGAAGGACACAGCCGCGCAGUGUGGUCCUGCACAUGGCACUCCUGCGGCAAUUUUGUGGCUUCCUCCUCACUGGAUAAAACUAGCAAAAUUUGGGAUGUUAAUAGUGAAAGAUGCAGAUGUACUUUGUAUGGACAUACAGAUUCUGUGAACAGCAUUGAGUUUUUUCCUUUCUCCAAUACUCUUCUCACAAGCUCUGCAGACAAGACCCUGUCUAUAUGGGAUGCAAGAACAGGUAUAUGUGAGCAGUCACUUUAUGGUCACAUGCAUUCUAUCAAUGAUGCCAUUUUUGAUCCCAGGGGUCACAUGAUAGCAUCCUGUGAUGCCUGUGGGGUUACAAAGCUGUGGGACUUUCGGAAGCUGUUACCAAUUGUGUCCAUCGAUAUAGGUCCAAGUCCUGGCAAUGAGGUGAAUUUUGAUUCAUCAGUCCAGAAAGUAUGAAUAUACCAGGAGUAAUUCUAGAGCCAGAAGAUAAUUGUGUGUUUCUUGGGACUGGUUUCAUAAUAUUGCCAUCACAUAUCUGAAAUUUAGAAAAUGGUCGAGUUUUAGCUCAGGCAAGUGGCAAUGGUGUUAUCCAUUUGCUAGAUCUUAAAUCUGGGGAGAUUCACAAAUUGAUGGGCCACGAAAACGAGGCACACACGGUUGUGUUUUCUCACGACGGGGAGAUUCUCUUUUCUGGAGGCUCUGACGGCACAGUUCGAACGUGGUCUUGACCGUCAGCACAUCCCGCUGCAGAGGGCAUUCCCUUUAAGGCUUGAAAAUGCCUCCUGUAGUCCCAAACCAGCAAAGAACUGGUUAAAUGUGCCAGCAGGUAACAUUUACAGUCUGCUUUAAAACAUGCUUUGGACAUAUAUUUUAGUGCUCAUACUGUUACUAAUAAAAAAAUAACUUUAUG
rnacentral:lncRNA from 1 species